AAGGCAGAUUGGGCAGUCGCGAUGGUUAGACCAUCGAGGAAGGUCCGGACUCCAUAGGGCAGGAUAGCGGCUAACGGCCGUCCGGUAAGAUGCGCAAGCAUCGAGCCGAGGAACAGGGCCACAGAGACGAGUCUGCGGGGCGGGCGCCUUCAGGGGCGCACCGGCACGGCCAUCUCCGUGCUGCGGCAACUGGUGACAGUUGCCGGCAUCGCAGGGUGAAACGCGGCAACCUCUAUCCGGAGCAACAUCAAAUAGGCAUGCGCACAGCCUUCGGGCUGGAAAGGGCGGCUCGUUCGAGCAUGCGGGUAGGUGGCUAGAGCGUGUCAGCAAUGGCUCGCGUAGAGGAAUGAUUGCCAGUCGGGGAAACCCGGCGUACAGAAUCCGGCCUAUAGAUCUGCUUUGCAC
rnacentral:RNase_P_RNA from 17 species